rnacentral:tRNA from 1 species
CGGGAUGUAGCGCAGCUGGUAGCGCACACGGUUCGGGACCGUGGGGUCGCUGGUUCGAAUCCAGUCAUCCCGA